UACAGAGGUCUCAAGCGUUGUUCGGAUUCAUUGGGCGUAAAGGGUGCGUAGGCGGCGCGGUAAGUCGGGUGUGAAAUCUCGGGGCUUAACUCCGAAACUGCAUUCGAUACUGCCGUGCUUGAGGACUGGAGAGGAGACUGGAAUUUACGGUGUAGCGGUGAAAUGCGUAGAUAUCGAGAGGAACACCGGUGGCGAAGGCGGCCUUCUGGACAGUGACUGACGCUGAGACGCGAAAGCGUGGGGAGCAAACAGG
rnacentral:rRNA from 1 species